rnacentral:misc_RNA from 1 species
UCUCCGUUGGUGAACCAGCGGAGGGAUCAUUACCGAGUUUACAACUCCCAAACCCCUGUGAACUUACCAUUUGUUGCCUCGGCAGAACCUACCCGGUAACUGUUCGGAGAGGCUACCCUGUAGCUACCCUGUAACGGCCUACCCUGUAACGUCCUGCCGGUGGACUUUUAAACUCUUGUUAUUUAUAGUAAUCUGAGCGUCUUAUUUUAAUAAGUCAAAACUUUCAACAACGGAUCUCUUGGUUCUGGCAUCGAUGAAGAACGCAGC